rnacentral:tRNA from 3 species
GCGCCCAUAGCUCAGUUGGUUAGAGCACAGGCCUUAUAAGCCUGGGGUCGAUGGUUCAAGUCCAUCUGGGCGCACAA